rnacentral:lncRNA from 1 species
CUGGCAUUGUCUAAUCUAGAGACCUGUUGAAUGUCAAAGCUCAAAAAGACUGAGAUUAAAUCUUUUACCUUCUGGAGAUACUUCUUCAUAUCUCCUCUCGUACCUUAUAUCUACCCUUUAUGUGUCCGAUCACCAACUGGGAGUCACUGAAGAUCUUAAGGUGCUAGGCUCCAGCUUUUGUCACCAUCUUGAGACCGACAAGCAGAGCUUCAUAUUCUAUCUUAUUAUUGGUAGCUGAAAAUUCAAAGUACAAUGCAUAUCCCACAACAUCGCCUUUAGGACCGAUCAAGA